CUCAAACCCAGACAGGGAAGAAAAUGGAUGUGGAAGAAUAAGGAUGCGCCCUAAAUGAAGCAGCAACACCCAUAAUGAAAGUAUGAAUCUCGAAUGGAAAGACUGAUAUCAUUAGUAUGGAAAAAACGAUCUGCCAAGUAAAUCAGCAACCGUUUGCUGAGAGCCUGCUGUAUGCUGGAGAUGGUUCUGGGUUCCAAGAUUUCCCAUCACUCCAAUCCUUGCCUCAAACGUGCCACCUUCCAUAAUGAAGGCCAGCCCCUGGCCUGCGAUUCCUCGCAACUUCUGU